AUACGGAGGAUGCAAGCGUUAUCCGGAUUUAUUGGGUUUAAAGGGUGCGUAGGCUGUUUGGAAAGUCAGGGGUGAAAGCCCGGCGCCUAACGCCGGAACUGCCUUUGAUACUUCCGAGCUGGAAUACGGAUGCCGUGGGAGGAAUGAGUAGUGUAGCGGUGAAAUGCAUAGAUAUUACUCAGAACACCGAUUGCGAAGGCAUCUCACGAAUCCGUCAUUGACGCUGAGGCACGAAAGCGUGGGGAUCAAACAGGAUUAGAUACCCUGGUAGUCCACGCAGUAAACGAUGAUGACGAACCGUCGGCGAUACACAGUCGGUGGCCAAGCGAAAGCGAUAAGUCAUCCACCUGGGGAGUACGUUCGCAAGAAUGAAACUUAAAGGAAUUGACGGGG
rnacentral:rRNA from 1 species